CCUACGGGUGGCUGCAGUGAGGAAUAUUGGUCAAUGGACGCAAGUCUGAACCAGCCAUGCCGCGUGCAUGAAGACGGCCCUAUGAGUUGUAAACUGCUUUUGUACGAGGGUAAAUCUUGAUACGUGUAUCGUGUUGAAAGUAUCUUACGAAUAAGGAUCGGCUAACUCCGUGCCAGCAGCCGCGGUAAUACGGAGGAGUCAAUCGUUAACCGGAUUUAUUGGGUUUAAAGGGUGCGUAGGCGGUUCGAUAAGUUAGAGGUGAAAUCCCGGGGCUCAACUCCGGCACUGCCUCUGAUACUGUCGGGCUAGAGUUUAGUUGCGGUAGGCAGAAUGUAUGGUGUAGCGGUGAAAUGCAUAGAGAUCAUACAGAACACCGAUUGCGAAGGCAGCUUACCAAACUACGACUGACGUUGAGGCACGAAAGCGUGUGGAGCAAACAGGAUUAGAUACCCCGGUAGUC
rnacentral:rRNA from 1 species